AGCGAACGCUGGCGGCAGGCUUAACACAUGCAAGUCGAGCUGGCCUUUCGGGGUCAGCGGCGGACGGGUGAGUAACGCGUGGGAACGUGCCCUCUGGUUCGGAAUAACUCAGGGAAACUUGAGCUAAUACCGGAUACGCCCUUUUGGGGAAAGGCUUGCUGCCGGAGGAUCGGCCCGCGUCUGAUUAGCUAGUUGGUGAGGUAACGGCUCACCAAGGCGACGAUCAGUAGCUGGUCUGAGAGGAUGAUCAGCCACACUGGGACUGAGACACGGCCCAGACUCCUACGGGAGGCAGCAGUGGGGAAUAUUGGACAAGGGGCGAAAGCCUGAGCCAGCCAUGCCGCGUGAGUGAUGAAGGCCUUAGGGUUGUAAAGCUCUUUUAUCCGGGACGAUAAUGACGGUACCGGAGGAAUAAGCCCCGGCUAACUUCGUG
rnacentral:rRNA from 1 species